rnacentral:rRNA from 1 species
AUACGGAGGGUGCAAGCGUUAAUCGGAAUUACUGGGCGUAAAGCGUACGUAGGCGGUUAAGUCAGUCAGAUGUGAAAGCCCUGGGCUCAACCUGGGAACUGCAUUUGAUACUGCUUGGCUAGAAUAUGGUAGAGGGAAGUGGAAUUCCGGGUGUAGCGGUGAAAUGCGUAGAUAUCCGGAGGAACACCAGUGGCGAAGGCGGCUUCCUGGACCAAUAUUGACGCUGAGGUACGAAAGCGUGGGUAGCAAACAGGAUUAGAAACCCUAGUAGUCC